GAGUUUGAUCCUGGCUCAGGAUGAACGCUGGCGGCGUGCCUAAUACAUGCAAGUCGAGCGAAUGGAUUGAGAGCUUGCUCUCAAGAAGUUAGCGGCGGACGGGUGAGUAACACGUGGGUAACCUGCCCAUAAGACUGGGAUAACUCCGGGAAACCGGGGCUAAUACCGGAUAACAUUUUGAACCGCAUGGUUCGAAAUUGAAAGGCGGCUUCGGCUGUCACUUAUGGAUGGACCCGCGUCGCAUUAGCUAGUUGGUGAGGUAACGGCUCACCAAGGCAACGAUGCGUAGCCGACCUGAGAGGGUGAUCGGCCACACUGGGACUGAGACACGGCCCAGACUCCUACGGGAGGCAGCAGUAGGGAAUCUUCCGCAAUGGACGAAAGUCUGACGGAGCAACGCCUCGUGAGUGAUGAAGGCUUUCGGGUCGUAAAACUCUGUUGUUAGGGAAGAACAAGUGCUAGUUGAAUAAGCUGGCACCUUGACGGUACCUAACCAGAAAGCCACGGCUAACUACGUGCCAGCAGCCGCGGUAAAUACGUAGGUGGCCAAGCGUUAUCCGGAAUUAUUGGGCGUAAAGCGCGCGCAGGUGGUUUCUUAAGUCUGAUGUGAAAGCCCACGCUCAACCGUGGUAGGUCUUUGGGAAACUGGGAGACUUGUAUGCAGAAGAAGAAAGUGGAAUUCCUUUUUAUCGGUGAAAUGCGUUAUGGUUUGGAGGAAACACCAUUGCUAAGGCGACUUUUGGCCUUUACUUUCACUGUGGCGCGUAACCUGGGGAGCCAAACAGCU
rnacentral:rRNA from 1 species